GACGAACGCUGGCGGCGUGCCUAAUACAUGCAAGUUGAGCGCUGAAGGUUGGUACUUGUACCAACUGGAUGAGCAGCGAACGGGUGAGUAACGCGUGGGGAAUCUGCCUUUGAGCGGGGGACAACAUUUGGAAACGAAUGCUAAUACCGCAUAAAAACUUUAAACACAAGUUUUAAGUUUGAAAGAUGCAAUUGCAUCACUCAAAGAUGAUCCCGCGUUGUAUUAGCUAGUUGGUGAGGUAAAGGCUCACCAAGGCGAUGAUACAUAGCCGACCUGAGAGGGUGAUCGGCCACAUUGGGACUGAGACACGGCCCAAACUCCUACGGGAGGCAGCAGUAGGGAAUCUUCGGCAAUGGACGAAAGCCUGACCGAGCAACGCCGCGUGAGUGAAGAAGGUUUUCGGAUCGUAAAACUCUGUUGGUAGAGAAGAACGUUGGUGAGAGUGGAAAGCUCGUCAAGUGACGGUAACUACCCAGAAAGGGACGGCUAACUACGUG
rnacentral:rRNA from 1 species